rnacentral:rRNA from 1 species
AGAGCGAACGCUGGCGGCAGGCCUAACACAUGCAAGUCGAGCGCCCGUAGCAAUACGGGAGCGGCAGACGGGAGAGUAACACGUGGGAACGUACCCUUCAGUUCGGAACAACCCAGGGAAACUUGGGCUAAUACCGGAUACGUCCGUAAGGAGAAAGAUUUAUCGCUGAAGGAUCGGCCCGCGUCUGAUUAGCUAGUUGGUGAGGUAAUGGCUCAACCGAGGCGACGAUCAGUAGCU